AAGAAUCGCCCCGUUUUUUGAAAUGGGUUCUAUUCCCAAACCGUGUCUAUAUACCUUUGUUGCUUUGGCAGGCCGCCGCUUAGGCGUUGGCUCCGGUUGACUGCGCCUGCCAGAGGACCCAAACUCGUUUGUUUUAGUGAUGUCUGAGUAUUAUAUAAUAGUUUA
rnacentral:misc_RNA from 1 species